rnacentral:misc_RNA from 1 species
UGCCACAGAAGCGAGGACGC